rnacentral:rRNA from 1 species
UACAGAGGCCCCAAGCGUUACUGAGAAUCACUGGGUUUAAAGGGUGCGUAGGUGGCGCGUUAAGUCCGUUGUGAAAUCCCUUGGCUCAACCAAGGAAUGGCUUCGGAUACUGGCGUGCUUGAGGCCGGUAAGGGUCACUGGAACUGACGGUGGAGCGGUGAAAUGCGUAGAUAUCGUCAGGAACGCCAAUGGUGAAGACAGGUGACUGGGCCGGUUCUGACACUGAGGCACGAAAGCGUGGGGAGCAGAACGGG